GGUGAGAUGGCCGAGUGGUUAUGGCGCUGCGUUCAGGUAUACCUGAAUCCAAAUUCGCAGUGGAGCAAUCCGCGUGGGUUCGAGUCCCACUCUCAUCA
rnacentral:tRNA from 1 species